GGUUUUUUAAUCCGCACCGCUUAGAAACCCUUGACUUGGGAAGAUGUUAAAUUUGCUUUAUCAACUUUUUCAAAUGAUAAAAUCAUUUAAAUCUUUGUAUAUUUUUAUAUUGCUGUUGUAAUUCUUUUUUCACCUGCAUUCAGUCUUUAUGAGCAAUUUGUUUUGCAUAUCGUUAUUUCAAUUUAACAAUUCAGUUUUAAUUUAAAAACGAAACAGUAUUUCAAUGUUAUGCACACAUACAUUUAUACUCAUGUGUAUGCCAACUAUUCUUCAUUAAUAAAAGUUAAUAAGGAAACC
rnacentral:sRNA from 1 species